UUCCGGUUGAUCCUGCCGGAGGCUACCGCUAUUGGAGUUCGAUUAAGCCAUGCGAGUCGAGAGUCUUAGGGACUCGGCGUACCGCUCAGUAACACGUGGGUAACCUGCCCUAUGCUGGGGAAUAACCUCGGGAAACUGAGAAUAAUACCCCAUAGUUCACCACGCCUGGAACGGUGGGUGGAUGAAAGCUCCGGCGGCAUAGGAUGGGCCUGCGACGUAUCAGGUUGUAGGGGGUGUAACGUACCCUCUAGCCAUCAACGCGUACGGGUGUUGGGAGACAUAGCCCGGAGAUGGAUUCUGAGACACGAAUCCAGACCCUACGGGGUGCAGCAGGCGCGAAAACUUGGCAAUGCGAGCAAUCGUGACCAGGGAACUCCAAGUGGCUGGGGUAAUACCCAGUUUUUUCUUGACUCUUCAAAGGUCUUGGAAUAAGGGGUGGGUAAGGACGGUGCCAGCCGCCGCGGUAAUACCGGCGCCUCAAGUGGUAGUCGCUUUUAUUGGGCCUAAAACGUCCGUAGCCGGUCUGGUGCAUUCGUGGGUAAAUCAACCCGCUCAACGGGUUGAAUUCUGCGAGCACGGCCAGACUUGGGACCGGGAGAGGUGUGGGGUACUCUCAGGGUAGGGGUAAAAUCCUGUCAUCCUGAGAGGACCACCUGUUGCGAAGGCGCCACACUAGAACGGAUUCGACGGUCAGGGACG
rnacentral:rRNA from 1 species